CUCGAGAUGUAUUAAAGCUGUACUGCAGAAGGAUCUGAGUGGCCUGCGUGCAUUUUGCUGGCGAGAUGGUAGCGUGGGUCACCUGGUUGCCAGAAUCCCAGGAAUUAACAUCGCUGGCGUUGGGGAGAACCCCCGGAGACCGGGCGGAUUCAGAACUGCAGGGAAAAGGAAGAAGACAAUCAUCUUUGGGUUCCAGAACGCCUCACCUGAAGGAUCUCCCCUUCAGAAGAUGUGGACAAAAGAGGGAACACUGAAACAACGAUGGAUACUGACCCUUCUACCGGAGAUCCUGGUUCCUAGUAUAUCAGGGGAAUUGUGUGGGGUAUUAUGUCCACCUUUCCCCUGCCCAUGCCUGUCAUGCACAGUGCACAAGUGUUUCCACAUUUCUUUACUGCUAAUAGGGAGCUGGGACUUGCCUUUUUGCCAUUGGAUGGGCAAAUUCAGGCUCUGAUGGAAAAUAGAACUUUUCCCUCAAAGGAAGCCUGUGUUUUGUGAUGAUCUUUGACUUGAAAGACCAAAGGCAGUAUAUAUCCUUAUAGAGUGUUUGGCCCCCUUUCUGUGGGUGGUAAAUAAUAAAAGUUUAAAUAGUAAUCAAUUAGAGUUAGAUUACUUGCUUAAUGAAUAUUUCUAUGCCCUGUGUUGGGAUGCUACUAAGUAUCCCUUUGCUUUGGAUACUCGCAUGCCUAAGUUUGUUCCAGUUCCUGUGGAAGCCACUAGCAGUUUAAGCUUAUUUAAAGAAAAGAGAGAUUUUAGAAUCUCUGCUGUUAUAGUUGGCUUGGUAGCAACAGCAGCAAUAGCUGCCUCUAUCACUGCUUCGGCCCUUGCCUUGUCUGCUACGGUUCAGACAACACAAACCAUCAAUGACCUUUUGGCAAGAGUGACAUCGACCCUGGACAGGCAGGCCACGGCCAACUCCCAGAUAUAGGGAGGCCUCAUGUUGGUAAACCAACGGAUUGAUCUGGUCCAAGAACAGGUGGAUGUCCUGUGGCAAAUGGCUCAGCUGAGUUGCGAACAUAAGCUGCCUAGCCUCUGUAUCACCUCAGUACAAUUUGAGAAUUUUACAAGAGCAACUAACCUGUCAAAGGCUUUGUCUCGUUAUUUGUUACAGAAUUGGACCAUAGAAUUUGAACAGACACUCCGGGAGCUGAGGAUCGCUGUCUUACAAGUCAAUUCGACAUGUCUUGACCUGUCAUUGACGGAAGGAUUUUCUACCUGGAUUUCUGCAGCAUUCUCCUACUUCAAGGAAUGGAUAGGGGUGGAUUUGUUUGGAGUGGCUGUGUGCGGUGGAGUACUGCUCCUACUAUGGAUGAUCUGCAAACUUAAAGCCCAAACAAGGAGGGACAGGAUGGUAGAAACCCAGGUGCUUGUUGCUUUGGAGCAUGGUGCCUCCCCCGAUAUACGAUUAUCGAUGCUUAAGCAAUAGGUCGCUGGCCGCUCAGCUCUUGCAUCCCACGAGGCUAGUCUCAUUGCAUGGGAUAGAGUGAGUGUGCUUCAGCAGCCCGGGAGAGUUGUACGGCUAAGCACUGCAGUAGAAAGGCUCUGCGGCAUAAGAUGAGCCUAUUCUAGGGAGACAUGUCAUCUUGUAUGAAAGUUGAGUGUCCAAGUGUCCUUCCCCCAGGAAAAACGACACGGGAGCGGACCAAAACCCCUCCGGGUGACUAGCCUGGGAGGAGGUUUUGUGUAAGGCCCCUAUGCUUGCACACUGGGGAUUUGACCUCUAUCUUCACUCUCAGUACUGGGUGGUCUGUUGCUUCUAAAAUAAAAGAAAAGGGGGAGAUGUGAGGAGCCGCCCUCACAGUCGCAGUUACAAGAUGGCGCUGACAUCCGUUGCUCGUAGUAAAAUGUGCGCAUGCAUCAGGGUAUCGUUCCAUUACCUGAGCCCUGCCUCUCUCGUGGCAUUAACUGACUGAUAGUGGGCAGCCAAUCCUGGUGGUGCACGUCUCCAACCGUUUUUUCGAAGCCUAUAAAAGGGAAGGGUUUUCUGCUCUCUGGGU
rnacentral:lncRNA from 1 species